rnacentral:misc_RNA from 1 species
UUUCCGUAGGUGAACCUGCGGAAGGAUCAUUCAUAAUAAAGUGUUUUAUGGCCCUUUUUAAAAAUCCAUAUCCACCUUGUGUGCAAUGUUAGAUCUCGUCAAUCUUGGCGAGAUUUUUAUACAUCAACUCAUUCUUUAACUAAUUUGUCUGAAAAAUAUUAUGAAUACUUAAUUCAAAAUACAACUUUCAACAACGGAUCUCUUGACUCUCACAUCGAUGAAGAACGCAGC